rnacentral:rRNA from 2 species
CUAAGCAUAUCAAUAAGCGGAGGAAAAGAAACCAACAGGGAUUGCCCUAGUAACGGCGAGUGAAGCGGCAACAGCUCAAAUUUGAAAUCUGGCCUCCUUGUGGUCCGAGUUGUAAUUUGUAGAGGGAGUCUCGGGUUAUGGAUCGGUCCAAGUGCCUUGGAACAGGAUACCGCAGAGGGUGAGAGUCCCGUAUCCGGCCGAUGCCAGCGCCCGUGUGAGGCCCCUUCGACGAGUCGAGUUGUUUGGGAAUGCAGCUCUAAAUGGGUGGUAAAUUCCAUCUAAAGCUAAAUACCGGCCAGAGACCGAUAGCGCACAAGUAGAGUGAUCGAAAGAUGAAAAGCACUUUGAAAAGAGAGUCAAACAGUACGUGAAAUUGUUGAAAGGGAAGCGUUUGUGACCAGACUUGACCGCGGGAUUCAGCUCGUCUUCUCCCUGGUGCACUUGGCCAGCCCAGGCCAGCAUCAGUUUGUCGCGGGGGAUAAAGGCGUUGGGAAUGUGGCUCCCCCGGGAGUGUUAUAGCCCUUCGUGUAAUACCCUGCUUUGGACUGAGGUUCGCGCAUCUGCAAGGAUGCUGGCGUAAUGGUCAUCAGCGACCCGUCUUGAAACACGGACCAAGGAGUCGUCUUCGUAUGCGAGUGUUCGGGUGUCAAACCCCUACGCGUAAUGAAAGUGAACGCAGGUGAGAGCUUCGGCGCAUCAUCGACCGAUCCUGAUGUUCUCGGAUGGAUUUGAGUAAGAGCAUACGGGGCCGGACCCGAAAGAAGGUGAACUAUGCCUGUAUAGGGUGAAGCCAGAGGAAACUCUGGUGGAGGCUCGCAGCGGUUCUGACGUGCAAAUCGAUCGUCAAACAUGGGCAUGGGGGCGAAAGACUAAUCGAACC